UCAGCCACUAGCUCAGCCAGUAGAGCGUGAGACUCUCAAUCUCAGGGUUGUGGGUUCGAGACCCACAUUGGCUGGAA